AAUAAGUGCAGCCAUGAGUUUCCGCGUCCAAUUUUGAUCGUCCGUUUUAUUUAAAAAAAUUUUAUAAUUAGCAUUUUUGUUGUUAUGAGAUGAUAAAACAUGAAUAGUACUUUAAUCGUGACUUAUGUUUUGAAUUUUUUUUUUAAAAAAAAUCAAAUAAGACGAACGGUUAAAGUUGGACGCAGAAAACCAUAGUUGUACUUAUU
rfam:Oryza rufipogon genomic scaffold, chr04